UACGGAGGAUGCGAGCGUUAUCCGGAUUUAUUGGGUUUAAAGGGUGCGUAGGCGGGAUAUUAAGUCAGCGGUGAAAGUUUUCGGCUUAACCUUAAAAUUGCCGUUGAAACUGUUAUUCUUGAGUGCAGUAGAGGUAGUCGGAAUUCCGAGUGUAGCGGUGAAAUGCGUAGAUAUUCGGAGGAACACCAGUGGCGAAGGCGGUCUACUGGGCUCUAACUGACGCUGAGGCUCGAAAGUGUGGGGAGCAAACAGGAUUAGAUACCUCGGUAGUCCCUGAGCGGGCU
rnacentral:rRNA from 1 species